rnacentral:rRNA from 1 species
GACGAACGCUGGCGGCGUGCUUAACACAUGCAAGUCGAGCGGAAAGGCUCCUUUGGGGGUACUCGAGCGGCGAACGGGUGAGUAACACGUGAGUAAUCUGCCUCUCACUCUGGGAUAACUGUCUGAAAGGGUGGCUAAUACCGGAUAUUCUCUCUGCAUCGCAUGGUGUGGGGUGGGAAGAUUUUUUGGUGGGAGAUGUGCUCGCGGCCUAUCAGCUUGUUGGUGGGGUAAUGGCCUACCAAGGCUUCGACGGGUAGCCGGCCUGAGAGGGUGACCGGCCACACUGGGACUGAGACACGGCCCGGACUCCUACGGGAGGCAGCAGUGGGGAAUAUUGGACAAUGGGCGGAAGCCUGAUCCAGCAACGCCGCGUGAGGGAUGACGGCCUUCGGGUUGUAAACCUCUUUCAGCACAGACGAAGCGCCCUGUCGGGUGGUGACGGUAUGUGCAGAAGAAGCACCGGCCAACUACGUGCCAGCAGCCGCGGUAAUACGUAGGGUGCGAGCGUUGUCCGGAAUUAUUGGGCGUAAAGGGCUCGUAAGCGGUUUGUCGCGUCGGGAGUGAAAUCCAUUGGCUUAACUGGUGGCUUGC